UCAAACCACAACCUCCAGUAUCAACAUGCAACACAGAGAAGGUUGGAGGCAAGAAGAAUUUCUCACCAAGUGCAAAACUAAAGAAAAUUAUUACAUCAAGACCAUCAAGUCUCUUAGUGUCACCAUGAAUGCAGAUCAUGUCUACAUUAUUAUGGGAACAACAUCUUAGGGACAAGACUCUGGACAAAAUAUCUGAGGAACACUAGACAAUGCUCAGUCCUUAACCACCAGCUGAACGUUACAAACCUAAAGAGAUUUAAUCCCAAGCAAAUCUCAAUGUGUCCAUCAUGCUCUGGGGUCCCUGAAAGGAAGCUGGGGUUCCUGAUGAAGCUGGGCUGGGUGCCAUGCUGCCAACAUGGGGGAGAUUUUCAUUUCUUGGAGUGUGGCCAAUAACCUGCAGCAAGAAAACAGAAUGGGGACUUUCACACCAAAAGCAAGAUGCCAAACCAAAACCAUCUGUCUGCACGUUUUCCUCUCUGCCUCUGUUCUU